CCAAGAUUUGACGGUACAUGGCCCCGUCCAUCGUCCCUUUGAUGCGGUGAAGUUGUCCUGUCCCCUUAGCAGAAAAACACCCCCAAAGCAUAAUGUUUCCACCUCCAUGUUUGACGGUGGGGAUGGUGUUCUUGGGGUCAUAGGCAGCAUUCCUCCUCCUCCAAACACAGGAGUUGAGUUGAUGCCAAAGAGCUCCAUUUUGGUCUCAUCUGACCACAACACUUUCACCCAGUUGUCCUCUGAAUCAUUGACAAACUUCAGACGGGCAUGUAUAUGUGCUUUCUUGAGCAGAGGGAUCUUGCGGGCGCUGCAGGAUUUCAGUCCUUUACGGCGUACUGUGUUACCAACUGUUUUCUUGGUGUCUAUGGUCCCAGUUGCCUUGAGAUAAUUGACAAGAUUCUCCCGUGUAUUUCUGGGCGGAUUCCUCACCGUUCUCAUGAUCAUUGCAACUCCACGAGCAAUUGGAGAGUACAGCCAUGUCUUUAGCUGCAUGCAGUGAGGCAUGGGGCGUCUGCGAGAAUGCCGGCAAUUCACGGAGCAAGACCAGAGGUCGAGCCAUGCUGCCCACGUCUAGAGAGGUGGAGGUGAAUGUGAGUGUGCGCCACAUGUACCUGUACAGCCGCGAGGUGCGUGGGGUGGUGGCACGUCUCCGCGCCGAGUGUGGGUCACUGUCCGUGCACGCAGUUGCCUUGGCCCACACUCAAGGUGAUCUGAACAAGGCCUUGGGACACGUUCGUAAUGAGAAACAGGCAAAUGUGCAAGCAUCUAGCAUGCGAUCGCGACGACCUACACGUGAGGUGGUAAGUCUUGAAUAAUAAUAAUUUAGUUGACAGUAAUACCCCGGUUUAUGUCAGGGAUGCUUUUCUUAAAUGUGCGACAACGAAUACCGAAACGACGUAAAUCAACGCAAUUUUGCCACGAGGACUAAACAAUGCUGAAGCCGUGUUAAUGCGUGCAUCUUCAUCCUAGACGUAUCCGCAACAUUACAUUCAAUUACUAAAAAUACUACACUCAAUACUAGUUUCGGCAGUAAACGUUAAAACAUUAUUAGCAGUACAUUAUGAAAAUAAAAUCACUAAAAUAUCAUGCGUAAUUACUAUAUUGUACUCCAUAGUACAGAACAUUUCUUUAUGCGCGAUGCAAAGUAGUUUGUGUACAGGGUUAGGUGGAGGUGAAGGUUGAGAGGCGACAGUUACGAGAAAGGGCAGACGAUGCUGUCAGCGACAUGAGUGUGGGUUGAGGCAAUGCUAGUCGGGUAGCGGUGGUGUUGAUAAUGAAGUGACAACGUAUUUUCUAAACGAUAUAAAAGGGGGAGGUGUAAAAUCGCAAGGCUUACAGCGCAAGGCUAUCACGAAGGCGCAGUACAGCACAUACAGUAGUCUGCAGUAGCUACAUGUUGUGAUGUUGCUUUGUGGAAUGCCAAUUGAGGAAUUUGUCGGUCAUUUGUGAAUUUGGAAAAUUUGAACCGUGACAGCAACACACAUUGGCCUACUCUUAUCAAACUAGCUUCUUUGCCCAUCCUAGGACGGAAGCUGUAAUAUUUACGAAAAAAAUUAGCAGAGUAUAAUUGUAUUUUGUGUUAAUUGAAUGGCAGUGAAUCUUGCACGAAAUUAUGUCAUAAAACACUUCACUGCAUUUCACUGUAGCACUGUAUAUAGCUGACCUUCAAUUUGUUCUAAUUCACUGCUCUGAUACUUUAUUAUUUUCUGCUUUCGGUCGCUGGGGUGCAAAUAAAUUGGAUUGCAAUACAAUAUCUGGAAAAUCACCGAGAAAUGUCUAUGUAACCAAAAUGUAGAAGCAUAAAUUAGACUUAUCUUAGGAAAAAAUAUAGACCCCAAAUCCAAUUUGUUGCCGCGUAGAAUUAUUUAUUAGAUUCAUUUUAAAUAAAGAAACGUGAAACUUAAAGCGAAUUUGCAACAAAUAAUAAUUCUGCUCUACCUUAAUGACGGGGGUGCGGCAUGUGGAGUGACGUCACGCGCGGGACACAAACACCCUAAUUAAUAAUCAUGAGCGGAUGACGUCACUGAUGUGGACCACGCCACCCACCCCCUCAUUAAUAAUCAAGAGUGGAUGAUGUCAUUCCACAUGGAGUUCCCCCCCCUGAUCAAUAAUCAUGAGCGGAUUCCGUCACUCCACAUGGAGCUCCCCCCCUUCAUCAAUGAUCAUGGAAUGAUGAUGUCACUCAUGUGGACCCUGGCCCCACCCCCUCAUUAAUAAUCAUGAGCGGGUCUUUAUUUUCGAUUGAAUAUUUCAGAUUAACUGCAAUACACCCGUCCUUGGACGGGCUAUAGGCUACUUUUAUAAUAAUUUAGAAGCAAAAAUUAGACUUACCUUUUGUUUCAAGUGCUGAAGAAAUAAAUAAAGACACCAAAUACACUUUGUUGCUGCGUAGAAAUAUUGAUUUGAUUACAUUUCAAUAAAGAAACGUCAAAUUUAAAGUUAAUUUGCGUAAAACAAAUUAUUUCCAAUCAACCUGCGGGAAUGUAAAAAUCCACCCGCUCAUGAUUAUGAAUGAGGGGGGGGUGUCUCUUUUGCAGUGACGUCACGUACGGAUGUAGCACUGCUGCGUAUAUUUAUUUUUUACUUUCUGUAAAGAAACGUCAUAUUUGAAGCAACUUUGCGAAAAAACUAUCUUUCCACUCGGCCUUCCGCGUGAGUGUAAAAAUCCACCCGCUCAUGAUUAUUUUAUUAUUAAUGACGGGGGAGGGGGUAUGUGGAGUGACGUCACGUGCAUUACACACAUUUCUGGGCUAUUAUAGUAGUAAUGCCAUCAGCGGGAAUUAUAACGUCCACUGUGAAGCGUCACUUUCAUGUAAAUUGCAUCAUCAGAAUCGCUGAUUUAGAUCUCUGUAUCGCGAGAAGAAAGCUCAAAGUGGUCCAUGGGCGACCGGGAUUUUGCUUUGGUGGCCAUUGGACUUUGGAACUCUUUGUCAAAGUUGGUCAGGGAGUCUAGUUCAGUUUGGGCCUUCAGGUCCCCCCUAAAAAUAUUUAUCUUUUAAGAAAGCAUCUCGAAUUUUAACUUAGCCACUUCUUACCCCCCCCCCCCCCCCCCCAUUGUAAGGCACCUUGAUGUUUUAUGCAUGGGGUCAGUAAAAGAGAAGAAGCAGAAAGAGAAGUGUUGUGAGCUGCGGUCCUGAGUGAAUGUGUGUAGCUCGGUGAGUGAGCGUGUGGGUGAUUUGCCACAGUGUAAUGGUUAGCACACUGGAUUUGCGAUGAUCCUAAGGUCACCAGUUUGUUUCUAUGGCAGUUGAAACAACGGUGCAAGUCUCUCGAAUUCCCCCCCUCCACUUGUGUAAGAACUCAUCAUUCAUUCGUCGGAAAUGUAAAAAAACAAUUCAGGACCUGACUGUGACUCAGUGUGGAUUUCCUGGACUAAGUCUAUUUUAUUAUUAUAAAGAAUUAAAGGGGCUGUUUGACACGACUAGAGAGCUGGCUUGCACUGCAGGGAACUUAAUAUUCAACUUGGAUUCCGCAACCCUCAAUGGCCAUUUUAAGUUAAAUUUGUGCAUGUAAGACUCGCACAAACAACCAUACCCAGAAACCCAUAGACCCCAACAGAGACCCAUACAUUCCUACAGACACUCAGACUCACACAGAGACCCCAUACUCACAGAGACCCAUAGCCUCACACAGAGAUCCAUACACUCAAAGGCCCAAAAACUCACACAGAAAUCUAUAGAUUCGCACAGAGGUCAAUAGAAUUAGAAUUUGAAUAUUUAUUUAUACUGGAUGCAUCUGAUGAGCUAUAACGAUCUGUUUUCACAGACGUCCAAUCUUGUGGGUCAGAAAAUAACAAAAAUACGAUACAAAAACAUCACAGGAAAGGUAAACAAAUUGUUUCGAAAUAUACAAAUUAAACUGAACUCUUUUUAUCUUACCAUAGACUCAUACAAACAUGUUGGACUCGCACAGAGACCUUAACCACUAAACCUCGAACAAUUAAAACCCUCUAAACCCCUAACUAUCUAAAUCCAUAACCAUCUAAACCGCUAACCCUCUCAACCCAUUUACCCUUACAACCCUAAUCUUUAAACCCCUCGCCCUCUAAAAGCUUAAACUCUAAACCACCAAAACACUAACCAUCUCAACCCCUAACCCUCUAAAUUCCUAUACCCCUAACCCUCAACCCCUUUACCCUUAAAACCCUAACCCACCAAAACCCUCACUCUCUAAACCCCUUAUUCUUUUAACCCUAACCGUCUAAGCCAUUAAAAACCAAAACUUCGAAACCCUCUGAAUCCCUAACCCUCUAAACCUUGAAACCCUAACCUUCUAAAACCCUAAAUCCUUAACAUUCUAAAUACCAACCAAUCUAAACCACUACCCUCUAAAGAACUAACCCUCUAGACCCCUAACCCUCUGAACUCAUAACCUCCUAAAUCCUCAACCUCUAAAACCCUAACCCUCAAACCCCUAACGUUCUAAAACCCUAAAUCUGUAACCUAAUCCCAACACAUUUAAACCCCAACCCUCUAAAGAACGAACCCUCUCGACACCUAACCCUUAAAACACCUAUGCCCCUAAAAUGCUAACCCUCUAAACACAUAAUCCACUACACCCGGAACCCUCUAAACCCAUAAAGGUUUUUUUUUGUUAGAUUAUGUAAAUAUAAACGUGUCGUUAAACCAACCACCACCUGAAACAGCCAAUUAGUAAAAUUUGUCACAUCAACAAAAAGUGCCAUUUAGUGUUGGAGACUAAACCAAAAAAAACCUUUAUUAUGGACAAUAUUAGUUGUGAAAGUCUACGUGUUAAACCCUCAACUCUCAAACCACUAAACCCGUAACACUGUAAAUCACUAACCCUUGAAACCCCGAUACCUCUAAACCCCUAAACACAUACCCUUAUAACCUCAACUACUAACCAUCUAAACCAUUCAACAUCCAACAAUCGAAACACAAAAACCUCUAAACACGUAACUCUCUAAACCCCUAACCCUCUAAAACCCAUAAACCUCUAAACACGUAACUCUCUAAACCCUCUAAACUCAAAACGUUCUAAACUCUAACCCUCUAAACACCAAAUCCUCUGAAGGACUUUCCCCUUAAGACCCCAACCGUCUAAACACCUCACCCUAUAAAACGGCAACCCAUAAACCCCCAACACUCUUAACUGCCUAAACCCUUAACCUUAUAAACCCCAAACCGUCGAAACCCCUAAACCUGUAAAACCGUAACCCACUAAACCCCUCACCUUAUAAACCCCUAAUCCCCUAAACAUCAAAACCUCUAAACCCAUAACCUUCUAAAACUCUUCUGUGAACAGGUGUCUUUUAUACAGGUAACAAGCCGAGAUUAGGAGCACUCCCUUUAAGAGUGUGCUCCUAAUCUCAGCUCGUUACCUGUAUAAAAGACACCUGGGAGCCAGAAAUCUUUCUGAUUGAGAGGGGGUCAAAUACUUAUUUCCCUCAUUAAAAUGCAAAUCAAGUUAUAACAUUUUUGACGUGCGUUUUUCUGGAUUUUGUUGUUAUUCUGUCUUUCACUGUUCAAAUAAACCUACCAUUAAAAUUA